rnacentral:rRNA from 1 species
GACGAACGCUGGCGGCGUGCUUAACACAUGCAAGUCGAACGGAAAGGCCCUGCUUUUGUGGGGUGCUCGAGUGGCGAACGGGUGAGUAACACAUGAUUAACCUGCCCUUGACUUUGGGAUAACUUCAGGAAACUGGGGCUAAUACCGGAUAGGAGCUCCUGCUGCAUGGUGGGGGUUGGAAAGUUUCGGCGGUUGGGGAUGGACUCGCGGCUUAUCAGCUUGUUGGUGGGGUAGUGGCUUACCAAGGCUUUGACGGGUAGCCGGCCUGAGAGGGUGACCGGCCACAUUGGGACUGAGAUACGGCCCAGACUCCUACGGGAGGCAGCAGUGGGGAAUAUUGCACAAUGGGCGGAAGCCUGAUGCAGCAACGCCGCGUGCGGGAUGACGGCCUUCGGGUUGUAAACCGCUUUCGCCUGUGACGAAGCGUGAGUGACGGUAAUGGGUAAAGAAGCACCGGCUAACUACGUG